AUUCCUACGGGAGGCAGCAGUAAGGAAUAUUGGACAAUGGGCGCAAGCCUGAUCCAGCCAUGCCGCGUGAAGGAUGAAGGCCCUAUGGGUCGUAAACUUCUUUUAUACGGGACAAAACCCCCCGAUGCGUCGGGGGUUGAUGGUACUGUAAGAAUAAGGGUCGGCUAACUUCGUGCCAGCAGCCGCGGUAAUACGAAGGACCCGAGCGUUAUCCGGAUUUAUUGGGUUUAAAGGGUGCGUAGGCGGAUUAGUAAGUCAGUGGUGAAAGCCCGUCGCUCAACGGCGGAACUGCCAUUGAUACUGCUAGUCUUGAGUAUGGUUGAGGUGGGCGGAAUGUGUCAUGUAGCGGUGAAAUGCUUAGAUAUGACCCAGAACACCAAUUGCGAAGGCAGCUCGCUAAGCCAUAACUGACGCUGAUGCACGAAAGCGUGGGGAGCAAACAGGAUUAGAUACCCUGGUAGUCCACGCCCUAAACUAUGAUCACUCGUUGUUGGCGAUACACAGUCAGCGACUAAGGGAAACCAUUAAGUGAUCCACCUGGGGAGUACGACCGCAAGGUUGAAACUCAAAGGAAUUGACGGGGGCCCGCGCAAGCGGAGGAGCAUGUGGUUUAAUUCGAUGAUACGCGAGGAACCUUACCUGGGCUUGAAAGUUAGUGACCGCUCCUGAAAGGGAGCCUUCCGCAAGGACACGAAACUAGGUGCUGCAUGGCUGUCGUCAGCUCGUGCCGUGAGGUGUUGGGUUAAGUCCCGUAACGAGCGCAACCCCUAUCAUUAGUUGCCAUCAGGUAAAGCUGGGGACUCUAAUGAGACUGCCCGCGCAAGCGGUGAGGAAGGUGGGGAUGACGUCAAGUCAUCACGGCCCUUACGUCCAGGGCUACACACGUGCUACAAUGGUAGAUACAGCAGGUUGCCACAUGGUAACAUGGAGCUAAUCCCAAAAGUCUAUCUCAGUUCGGAUUGAGGUCUGCAACUCGACCUCAUGAAGCUGGAUUCGCUAGUAAUCGGAAAUCAGCAAUGUUCCGGUGAAUACGUUCCCGGGCCUUGUACACACCGCC
rnacentral:rRNA from 1 species